rnacentral:rRNA from 1 species
UCCCAGACUCCUACGGGAGGCAGCAGUGGGGAAUAUUGCACAAUGGGGGGAACCCUGAUGCAGCGACGCCGCGUGGGCGAGGAAGUAUUUCGGUAUGUAAAGCCCUCUCGGCAGGGAAGAAGAAAUGACGGUACCUGACUAAGAAGCCCCGGCUAACUACGUGCCAGCAGCCGCGGUAAUACGUAGGGGGCAAGCGUUAUCCGGAUUUACUGGGUGUAAAGGGAGCGUAGACGGCAGCGCAAGUCUGAAGUGAAAUCCCAUGGCUUAACCAUGGAACUGCGUUGGAAACUGAGCAGCUAGAGUGCAGGAGAGGUAAGCGGAAUUCCUAGUGUAGCGGUGAAAUGCGUAGAUAUUAGGAGGAACACCAGUGGCGAAGGCGGCUUACUGGACUGUAACUGACGUUGAGGCUCGAAAGCGUGGGGAGCAAACAGGAUUAGAUACCCGCGUAAC